rnacentral:rRNA from 1 species
ACCUUAAAAGAGUGCGUAAUAGCUCACUAGUCAAGCGAUCCUGCGCCGAAAAUGAACGGGGCUAAGUGAUGUACCGAAGCUGUGGGAUUAAUUUAAUUAAUCGGUAGGGGAGCGUUCCGUAAUAGGUAGAAGCAGUAGCGGCGAGCAGCUGUGGACGAGACGGAAGUGAGAAUGUCGGCUUGAGUAGCGCAAACAUUGGUGAGAAUCCAAUGCCCCGAAACCCUAAGGGUUCCUCCGCCAGGUUCGUCCACGGAGGGUUAGUCGGGUCCUAAGGCGAGGUCGAAGGGCGUAGUCGAUGGACACAGGGUGAAUAAUCCCUGACUAUUGUGUGGGAGCAUUGCGAGGGACGCAUGAAAGAUAGCCAUACCCUGAUUGGUUUGGGAGGAGUUUACGAACUCCGCGUGGUGAAGGAUAGUGUCAAGAAAAGCUCGGAAUGUGAUGAAAGCACAAUACCCGUACCCGAAACCGACACAGGUAGGGAGGUUGAGAAUACCAAGGGGCGCGAGAUAACUCUCUCUAAGGAACUCGGCAAAAUGGCCCCGUAACUUCGGGAGAAGGGGUGCCCACCUCAGAAGUGGGUCGCAGUGAAGAGAUCCAGGCGACUGUUUACCAAAAACACAGGUCUCCGCCAACUCGAAAGAGGACGUAUGGGGGC